UAUCAAUAUAGAUCAUAUUAAGUAUUGUUAGUUAUAGGUUGAGCAAGAAAUUACUAAAUUGGUAACAUAUACCUACAUAUAUAGACAAUGCUGAACUGAAUGCAAAUCGCUUGUUAAAGUCAUCUUACAAGCGAUUGGCCUAACUUCCAGCUAAUGGCCAAACAUAUAGCCACAAAACAACAAAAUCAAGGCGUUCAUGUUUUGCGCUUAAGAAAAUUCAUGCAUUUGAUAAUGGAUCGGUCAAAACGUCCUAUAUAAGCCUUUUUCUUUGGAUUAAGUAAGAGAGCAAAUAUAAGGAAAAAGCAGAGCGAAGGUAAAUUCUCAUUCUCAUUUGAUGUAAGUUAGGUGAACUUGUGUCUACAAUGCAAGUAUGGGUAUGGGUAUGGAUAUGCUUUCGUUUCAGACACGAAUGCGAUAUCGCUUUGCAGAACUUAAUAAAUGGAUUCGUCGGAUUAGGAAGGUUAGAGCAUCCUUCCUUCCUUAAAAGCUCCGUUUAGUGUAUGAAAUUUACUCAGCUGAGUAACAUCUGAGGUACCCAUCACUGGAGUUAUUAAUAAUGAACAAUAAAUCAUGGUGUGAGAGUUACUUUGUAAUUCAUCAUACCUUUAAUAUAAUGGUUGAUCUAUGCACGAAACUCAAUUGAACAUCCUAUAGAAAUAUGUUCUCGUUUGAUGGCGCUAUUAAGUUGAUAUGCAGCGACAUGAUAGACAAUGAAGCAGAACUGUACUAAUGGUCACCCAUUCAAUUUAUUGUGAAUAACAAACCAUUUUGAAAUAUAACCUCUAGCGCAUGUUGUUGUACAUUAUUGGACACAAAGUGGUGAAUUCUAUAAUUUCGGAAUCUAAUGGGUAUAUCCAGAAUUUAGACAUAGUGUCAACUUUUUAUCUGUGCCCUAGGAAGCAUUGAAAUUAAAAAGGAAUUUGGAGUUUGGAGGUUGACAGUGCAAUAGACGAUUCAAUAGAAGGAACUUGUUGUUUAUUUUCCAGAGAAGUUUUUACAGGACUUAUACGGGAAAUUUAAAUAAAUGAUCUGUAGUGUUGCAAUUAAGGAUAACGAAAAGGAGCACCUUAUUAAUUGAAGAUAACCAACCUAGAACCAAGAACCAAGAACCAAGAACCAAGAUUUCAAUACU